rnacentral:rRNA from 1 species
AUAUCUAGUUGAUCGUAUCAGUACUCAUAUGAUAGUCUCAUAGAAUAAACCAUGCAUGUGUAAGUGUAAAUAUAAUAGUUUGGAUCUGAGAAUGGAUCAUUAUAUCAGUUAUAGUUUAUUUGGUGAAGUGUAGUAUUUGGAUAGCAGUAGUAAUUUUAGGGUUAAUACAUGAGAAAGUCCUAUUGUGAGGUGUGUUUAUUAGAAUGAAAACCAUAUUAUUUGUCAUGAUAUUGAGUAAUAGUAACCUAUAGUAUUGCAUUAUUAAUGUAUAGAUGAGUCUUUCAAGUUUUUGCCCUAUCUCCUUUUUAUGGUAGUAUAUGGUCGUCCCACGGCACUAUCGGGUAUCGAAGAAUUUGGGUUUUAUUUUUGAGAGGGAGCCUGAGAGAUGUCUCCCACAUCCACGGAAGACAGCAGGGGCGUAAAUUUUCCAAUCUCGUCACACGGAGGUAGUGACAAUAUAUCUCAAUAUGGGGCUAUCUGUUUUGCAAUUGGAUUGAGAAAAGGGUACAACUCUUAUCGAUAAGCCAUUGGAGGGCAAGUCUGGUGCCAGCAGCCGCUGGUAAUGCUAGCCUCCCAAACCGC